GGGGACACAAAGAUCCCAUUGAUUUCUGUCCCAACAGCACCUGCUAAGACUGAGCUCUGCCCAGCUCCCAAUACGGAGUGGUGAGGAUUGAGGACAGCAGAGCCCUAUGGAUCCCAAAGGCCACACUCACCCUCCAUAUCCCACCUCCUCCUCGGGGACUCUACCAACCCUUGCUUUGGGGAGCAGUGCUUUUCCCUAGGAAAGGGGGUGUACAGCCGGACAACAGGCCAAUGCCCCCGACUCUUCUCCCUGCACAAUGCUCCUGCUCCUGUCCCUCUAUUUCUACCUAACUCCCCUGCCCAAUGGCGGGAGGCCCCAGACACUGCAGGCAUGGUGGGGGCCAGGAACCUCGUUGGCUGGAGCAUGUUUCCUGGUGAUCCUGAGGCAGCGGGGCCAACACCCCAGACAUCUGGAGCCUUGGUGGUCCAGACCAAGACGGAUGCUUCCCUCAGCUACCCACCCAGGCUCUCUCUUCUGGAGCUCAUUUCCGGUCUGAGAAAGAAGGCUCUUAAUUCAACUCCUGAUACCCGAAUGACCUCAGCCUUCAAGUGACCUGGCACAACCCUCCAUGAACAGUUUAUUCAGGCGCUCUUUCCAGACUCAUUUGCUGAACCCCCCCUCCCAAAUCCCCAAGACCCCAUCAAUGCCUGGCACUGUGCCCUGAGGCACUGGGGUUUGAAGAUGAAUGAGUGAGAACCGAGAACCUGCUCACAUGAAGCUCAUAACCAAGGGGCUGAGACUGCCUGGUCACCCCCAACGCUAUUGUGUGGGACCAGUGCAGGACAGAGAUGGACAGACAGAAGUCAGGAAGACCAGGGUCUGGUCUCAAGCAUGGGGGAGAACUCCACUGAGGACGCCCAGGAUGGAGAGGUCCAGACGUAUGCCCUGGAGUCCAGUAUGUAUACCCCCAACUCCAUCACUGAUUAGAGCCUGUUUCCUUGUCAACAAAAUGGGACUAAUAAUGCCUUCCUUUGCAAAGCUAUUGUGAGGCUAAUACGUCAUAUGUACAUACAAUGCCUAACGUGGUUACUGCACACAGUAGGUACUCAAUAAAUAGAGCUGUUAGUAA
rnacentral:lncRNA from 1 species